CAGUCGCCGCGGUAAUACGGAGGGCGCGAGCGUUACCCGGAUUUACUGGGCGUAAAGGGCGUGUAGGCGGCCCGGGGCGUCCCAUGUGAAAGGCCACGGCUCAACCGUGGAGGAGCGUGGGAUACGCUCAGGCUAGAGGGUGGGAGAGGGUGGUGGAAUUCCCGGAGUAGCGGUGAAAUGCGCAGAUACCGGGAGGAGCGCCGAUGGCGAAGGCAGCCACCUGGUCCACUUCUGACGCUGAGGCGCGAAAGCGUGGGGAGCAAACCGGAUUAGAUACCCCCGUAGUCCCUGUCUCUUAUAC
rnacentral:rRNA from 1 species